rnacentral:rRNA from 1 species
CAGCCCUUGACAUCCCGGUCGCGGAUUACAGAGAUGUUUUCCUUCAGUUCGGCUGGACCGGAGACAGGUGCUGCAUGGCUGUCGUCAGCUCGUGUCGUGAGAUGUUGGGUUAAGUCCCGCAACGAGCGCAACCCUCGCCCUUAGUUGCCAGCAUUCAGUUGGGCACUCUAAGGGGACUGCCGGUGAUAAGCCGAGAGGAAGGUGGGGAUGACGUCAAGUCCUCAUGGCCCUUACGGGCUGGGCUACACACGUGCUACAAUGGUGGUGACAGUGGGCAGCGAGCGAGCGAUCGUGAGCUAAUCUCCAAAAGCCAUCUCAGUUCGGAUUGCACUCUGCAACUCGAGUGCAUGAAGUUGGAAUCGCUAGUAAUCGCGGAUCAGCAUGCCGCGGUGAAUA